CACACAAAAGUGUGUUUCUGGUCGACAUUUUCACCAGACAAGGAAAGGUUCUUCUCUUGAACCCUAAAUUACAAAGAAAUGCUCAAAUCAAAGGGGAAAUCAAGCUAAAAAUUGGGGCUUUUUUUAAAUUCGUGAUCACCAAGUCAUGGGGAUCACAAGUUGAAGGAUACUCGUAUCUGAAGAUGGCGAGAGUGUAACAAGUGACAGACAUGACAGAGGAACGGUCCGAAGUACGACAAGUAGAGUAUGCUCAUGAAGGACCUAAAUCGCGUGAUGACCGCGAACAAGGUUAAUGACAUGGAAAGCCCAUUACGGCAAGCAUUACCAGUUUGACUCUUGACGAGCUAGGUGAAGCUUGGAGGAGAUGAUCAAACGGGAUAAAGACACGAGUAAGACUUGCUUGGAUGAAAGGUAAGUAAAGCUUACACCUAUUUUUUUUAUUAGCAUACGUAUUUAUUCUAUAGGUGAUAAAUACAACAAUAGAUUAUGUUCGAAUUAUGGGUUCCGACACGAAACAAAAUGGGUCGGAACGAAUAAAAACGUUUAAAAUCAUGAUUAAUGGUGAAAGAGAAACCAUGAUUUGUAAUAAAUAUAAUUGUUUGGUCGUAUAGACCAAAUGGGUCAAAUGAUGGUGAUAACAUCAUAUGACCAUAUCGACUAAUGUUGGUUGUUAAGUCAUAUGUUUACAGGAACGAAUAGCAAUUUGGAUAAUUGCGUCGUCAUAGAAUAUUGAAUUAAUAAUAGCAAGGUAUAAACGGGUCUAUACGUUGACUCGAGCCAGGUACGCUUAUAUAUAGAUUUAUAGUUAAAAGUGUUUAACUUCCCUUAACGGGUCAAAAUGAGUAGAUAGGUAAAACGGGUUAAGAAUUCAUAAGAAACCCGUAAUUUGAACCUUGCAUAUUAGUAAAUUGAUAUAACGUGAUAUGCAUGAUAUUUUGAAAAGGUAAUAAACAAGUUUGUUUGAUAAAUCACGAACGGGUCAAAAAGUGUCAUAAUUGAAUUUCAAGCCGAGAGCUUGAAAGUUAAAAUUUUGUGAAUUUAGAUGUCGGGUUUUCACUCCGUAAGAUGGAGAAUUAAAUUACGAACGCGUAGGAAAAAGAAUCGCGAAAAACGGACUUGUAGAAUGAAAGUUAUGCCAAUUUAAAGUUUGAAAUUUGUUAAAAUUGGAGCUGGGCAGAAAAUGCAGGUUCAGAUAUAAACCUGCUGGAAACUGGUCUCCCCCGCGACACGCGAAGGGGAAACAAGGUCCGGGCGCGACACGCGACAGGCGUCGCGGCACGCGACACAUCUAGUUGAGUCUCUCGCAACACGCGAGAGACAUAAAGGCUGGAAAAAAAAUUAUUUUCGUUAAUUGUUUGAUGUGUAGAACUUGUUUAAACUUAUAUUUAAGUUAUCAAAACUAACUUUUAGGUUGGUUUUGAUCACAGGUGAAUAUCGAAAGUACCCGGACGAAGAUCAAGCGACGAGAAAGAACCGAACACAUGAAGAAGAAGCUUCCGCACGUUGUUUCGUCGAAUUUUUAAACGACAAACUAACUACAUUAUGUUGUUCUAAACUUUAAAUUAUAAAAUUUUUAAUAAACCCGUACUUUGUAAUGUAUAUGUGCUCUUAAUCACAUGUUUAUUAUCUUA
rnacentral:lncRNA from 1 species